AACGAGGUUCGAUCCUAAGUGUGGGUUCAUCUACAAUAUUAGGAUUUUGGGGGGCUGGAGCUGACGAACUUUUAGAACUGCUAGAGGAGGAAGUGUUGGAGGACAUUUUGAAUCAAAUGAAAACUCCAAAAAAUCUCGAAAAAAUUAGAAAAAAUAGGAAACAAGGCACUCGCAGAGAAACUGAAUGGGCAGAAUGAAGAGGAGGAAA
rnacentral:lncRNA from 1 species